GACGAAGGGGGCUAGCGUUGUUCGGAAUUACUGGGACGGUAAAGCGCGUGUAGGCGGUUGUCCAAAGUUGGAUGUGAAAGCCUUGAGCUUAACUCAAGAAAUGCAUUCAGGACUGGAUGACGUAGAGGACCGGAGAGGAUAGUGGAAUUCCCAGUGUAGUGGUGAAAAUACGUAGAGAUUGGGAAGAACACCAGUGGCGAAGGCGGCUAUCUGGACGGUUUCUGACGCUAAGACGCGGAAAGCGUGGGGAGCAAACAGG
rnacentral:rRNA from 1 species